AAAUGAUGGAGAUCCAGAAAGCUAAAGGCAAAGGAAACUGUCCAUAAAUGGUGCCGUCUCUUUUAGAAAGUUCCCACAAGGGUAACAGUUAACAGUUCUGAAGCCACUCUACCUCUAGUGCGGAAUUGCACAAUGAAUUAAAUACGUGGCAGAUGGGUGUGAGCCUGGUUUCUCACUGCUGGAGUGAGAAGUCACAGAUGAGAAGAGAAGCUAGAAUGAUCCAUACGCUAAUAGGUUAGAGCCGAAGACAUCAGUGCGACUCAUGCUUACCUUAAUUUAGACACAUGAUCCAGGAGUCUGUAUCCUUGUGAGAAUAUGCACGUUUCCUUGUACUGUGAGCAGAGAGCACUGAGAAGCAAGGCUUCCCUUGUUAGGAUGGCUAUUAUCAAAAGGACAGGAGAUAACAAUGGUUGGUCAGAAUGUGGAGAAAAGUGAACCCUUGUACACUGCUCUUGGGAAUGUAAUGUUUCUCAAACAAGUAAAAAUAGAACUACCAUAUGAUCCAGCAAUCCCACUUCUCGGAAGAUACCCAAAGGAAAUGAAAUCAGUAUCGUGAAGGAAUAUCUGCACUCCAUGUUUAGUGCAGCAUUAUUCACAAAAGCCAAGAUAUGGAAACAACCAACUGUCUGUCAACAGUGCCAUUUGUGGGAUUCCUGUUUGCCCAUCGUCCUUUCAUGCCGAGGAGGCAAGUGCAUCCCUUGACCAGGCCACCACUGCAGGUGUGUGUGUCAGACUGAGGAACAGCAGGGAGAGGAGAACAGCGCAUGAUGGUGCACUCCUGGAGGGCAGGGACUAUACCAUGUCUGUCUUUUUCACUGCAGCA